CAGAAACUUAAAGGAAGUUGACGGGGAGCACUACAACGGGUGGAGCCUGCGGUUUAAUUGGAUUCAACGCCGGAAAUCUCACCGGGGCGACAGCAAUAUGAAGGUCAGGCUGAAGACCUUACCCGAUUAGCUGAGAGGUGGUGCAUGGCCGUCGUCAGUUCGUACUGUGAAGCAUCCUGUUAAGUCAGGCAACGAGCGAGACCCACGUCCACAGUUGCCAGCAUACCCUCCGGGGUGAUGGGUACACUGUGGAGACCGCCGCUGCUAAAGCGGAGGAAGGAGUGGGCAACGGUAGGUCAGUAUGCCCCGAAUCUCCCGGGCUACACGCGGGCUACAAUGGUUGGUACAAUGGGCAUCUACCCCGAAAGGGGAAGGAAAUCUCUUAAAGCCAAUCGUAGUUCGGAUUGAGGGCUGCAACUCGCCCUCAUGAAGCUGGAAUCCGUAGUAAUCGCGUUUCAACAGAACGCGGUGAAUACGUCCCUGCUCCUU
rnacentral:rRNA from 1 species